AUCUCCCCGAUCCAGUACGGGUUUACACCUGUCAGACGUGGAGAGAGAGGCUGGGUUAUUUCUUGAGCAUUGGACACUUCUGCACAUUCAUUUUGCCAGAUUGUCUGCUAUUAAUGAGGAGUGUCUGAAUUUUACGAAGCCUCUUUUGUUCAUGAAUAGUGCUUCUAGUGAGUAACAGGGGCUUUGCCACCAAGCACUUCAAGACUCUGGGAGAACUUGUAUCUGCAUUAUAAUAUCCACUCAUUGCUGUGAAAACAAAAUGAAGAAAGUCUGUGGGAGUGCAUUAUAAGCAAAAUUCGUCUUUAAGCUGAAUCUACUUGGCUGAAAGAUAAAAAUCAAAGGUGGAGUUCAAGAGCCUUCUUGAAUGCAUUUUUGUCACAGGCCACCUGAAAAUUGCUGAUUUUGUGAGAAGCAAACUGUAAAGGAGAUCUGCUUGUUUAUACACUGACAAGCUGGCUUUCCAGCUCUGUCCAUACCAGACUAAGUGCAACUCAUCUUGGAACCUAAGUGGUCUGGGAGCUGGCUGAACAGAUGACAGAC